rnacentral:rRNA from 1 species
GCCGAACCGUGCGAACGUUGUUCGGAAUCACUGGGCUUAAAGGGCGCGUAGGCGGGCAUUCAAGUCAGGGGUGAAAUCCUCCAGCUUAACUGGAGAACUGCCUUUGAUACUGGGUGCCUCGAGUGAGGUAGGGGCGUGCGGAACUGAUGGUGGAGCGGUGAAAUGUGUUGAUAUCAUCAGGAACUCCGGUGGCGAAAGCGGCGCGCUGGACCUUAACUGACGCUGAGGCGCGAAAGCGUGGGGAGCGAACAGG